rnacentral:lncRNA from 1 species
AUGGAAUCCAGAGUGAAAAAUUGCGGAAACAUAUUAGUAACAAGCGAUGUAAUUUUUGAAGAUGUCAAGAUAAAAUCCUCCGACCCCUCUACAUCUGCAGACAAAGUUUCAACCUCAGUUCAAACUAGCUCAGUUGUUCGCAAAAUGGACCUACCACCUAAUAUCCUGAACAAAUCUGUCAAAAAUGGCUCGGUGAUUGCUCCAGUCAUCAUUGAAAAGUACAAUAUCAAAGACGGCAAGGUUAAAUCGUCAGUCAAACGAGAUACCAGGUCGAUCAGUAUGAGUGCAUUCGAGUUAAUCAGAGCUCAAGACUUUGCAGAUCUUAAAUCUAAACCCCCAACCCAUGCCCUUUCUCCUGUCUAUGCCAACAUUCCGUCUGAUGCGAGUGUUUCUGAAUGUUAUUCUCAGAUCUUGGACCUGGUGCCUUCAAAAAGUUCCAAUCUGUCUUCGAGCCAAACGCAGUCCUUUGAUUCUUCAGAUAACCACUUAAAGCAGUGUGUACUGAAACUAGCACUAGUACCACCACCAGCAAUAAUGCUUAUCAUGCUCCUCCAGAGAAUGUCACAACUUUGGCCAUCAACCGACUUCUGCGACGUUUGGAGACUGCCAUUGCCAAAGGCCAGCAUCAUCAAGCUGCAGCUUUGGCCAAAGAACUCGCCAGACUAAAAAUUAGCUGCUCUGUUGUACGUCAAAAGCCACUCAACGCCAAAGCCUCAAAUGACAUCUUGUAAGUAUUUCAUUGCUGUUAACUUUCCUUGGAUAAAAUAAAAAAUUUUAGUGAAAGUUGUAAAAAUUGUCUUCCAAUUUUUAGACAAUUUUGUUUGCAAUUGAAUCUAAAAUAUCUGAAAAUUUCAAGGAAAUAUAUGUAUAAAACUUCCUCUACAAUUAUUUUUUUUCAGGGAAACUAGGCAACACUCAAAUGUUUUUACAGCG